rnacentral:rRNA from 1 species
AUACGUAGGUGACAAGCGUUAUCCGGAUUUACUGGGCGUAAAGGGCGUGUAGGCGGUCUUGCAAGUCAGAAGUGAAAUUCCUGAGCUCAACUCGGGCGCUGCUUCUGAAACUGCAGGACUUGAGUGCUGGAGGGGAUAGCGGAAUUCCUAGUGGAGCGGUAAAAUGCGCAGAUAUUAGGAAGAACACCGGUGGCGAAGGCGGUGAUCUGGAGAGUACCGGACGCGGAGGGGCGAAAGCGAGGGGAGCAAGCAGGGUUAGAUACCCUGGGAGUCCACGCCGUAAACGAUGAAUGCUAGGGGUUGCGGGUAGCGACCCCUGCAGUGCCGGAGUAAACACAAUAAGCAUUCCGCCUGGGGAGUACGGCCGCAAGGUUGAAACUUAAAGGAAUUGACGGGG